GACGAACGCUGGCGGCGUGCUUAACACAUGCAAGUCGAACGGGCCUGUCUUCUUUUUUGGGGGUGGGUUGAGUGGCGAACGGGUGAGUAUCACGUGAGUAACCUGCCCUUCGGUCCUGGAUAACCGCUUGAAAGGGCGGCUAAUACGGGGUGGUCCGGUUGGUCCGCAUGGGCUGGUCGGGAUAGAUUCACUGUUUUUGGUGUUUCGGCGGGGGAUGGGCUCGCGGCCUAUCAGCUUGUUGGUGGGGUGAUGGCCUACCAAGGCGGUGACGGGUAGCCGGGCUGAGAGGGUGGGCGGCCACACUGGGACUGAGAUACGGCCCAGACUCCUGCGGGAGGCAGCAGUGGGGGGUAUUGCACAAGGGGCGGAAGCCUGAUGCAGCGACGUCGCGUGAGGGAUGGAGGCCUUCGGGUUGUGAACCUCUGUUUCCGGUGGUGAAGGCCCUGUCCGUGUGGUGGGGUUGACGGUAGCCGGGGAUGAAGCGCCGGCUAACUACGUG
rnacentral:rRNA from 1 species